rnacentral:lncRNA from 1 species
AAAUAAAAAAAGCUAAGAUUUUCUGCAAUUUUAGAAAGUUCAACCAUGUCAGUAUGUGACGUGGUCAUGUGACCAACAACCACAUGUCUUGUCGCAGGCACGCAAGCCACACUUGCGUGUGUAGUGAUCCCCGUAUAUGCAGAUUGGAUGGCUAUGGGCAUUCCCUGCCCAAGCAAAUCCAAUGGCCAGGGGGGUCAUUUCCAUUGUGUUUUUGAUGAACAACCAUGAUCGCAUGUGGGCAAGUUAAUUUGAUGGCUAGAAAGCCACCUCACACGGAUUAUGAUCCAAUGGUUAGUGCAUAUCGCGAUCGUGCGGUAAGGAUUUGCUUUCACGUGGAUCACGAUUCAACGGGCCGGGAUCGCUUGCCA